GGCCUCAGAACUGCCCGGAGAGAAGCCGCCUUGGAUGGACAGAGGGACGGAGCAGCAAGCAUCCGGCUUCCCCGGCUCCCCUGCAGCGGUCUCCAACUGCUGUCUGCCCGCUGCCCGAUGCCCGCCUGCCUGGCAUCUCUCUCCCGUACUUCCUAUAUGGCAAGCCAGGGACUGAAACUUACGAUUUGACUGGACAAUCUAUAAGGUGCUAGCUGCAUUCCUGGCCUGGGAGCAGGGAGCCUGUCUGACCCCUGUGUCACACUGGAUGGUUUUACAGAGGUGCCCCACCUGAUGCUGCAUGGAAGUCAUCACCCUACAGUGUGGGUAUCAAGGGGGGAGCAAGGGGGCUAGAAAGCUCCAGAGGGAUUAGGCGGUCUCCAGUCACUCCCCUCUGUGUGAACCCUGCUGCUCUUCCACUCUGGAGCUGGAAAGCUGUCAGCUGCCACGCCAUGGUGCCAAGCACAUAGUAGGACUUCAAG
rnacentral:lncRNA from 1 species